UCUCCGUAGGUGAACCUGCGGAGGGAUCAUUACCGAGUGAGGGUUUAACCGCCCGACCUCCAACCCUUUGUGAACCAAACUUGUUGCUUCGGGGGCGACCCUGCCGCUUCGGCGGUGCGGCGCCCCCGGAGGCCAUUAAACACUGCAUCAUUGCGUCGGAGUAUUGAAAACAAAUCAAUCAAAACUUUCAACAACGGAUCUCUUGGUUCUGGCAUCGAUGAAGAACGCAGC
rnacentral:misc_RNA from 1 species